rnacentral:rRNA from 1 species
CGUGGGUAACCUGCCCAAGAGAUCGGGAUAACACCUGGAAACAGAUGCUAAUACCGGAUAACAACAGAUGAUGCCUAUCAACUGUUUAAAAGAUGGUUCUGCUAUCACUCUUGGAUGGACCUGCGGUGCAUUAGCUAGUUGGUAGGGUAACGGCCUACCAAGGCGAUGAUGCAUAGCCUAGUUGAGAGACUGAUCGGCCACAUUGGGACUGAGACACGGCCCAAACUCCUACGGGAGGCAGCAGGU